GACGAACGCUGGCGGCGUGCUUAACACAUGCAAGUCGAACGGAAAGGCCCUGCUUUUGUGGGGUGCUCGGGUGGCGAACGGGUGAGUAACACGUGAGUAACCUGCCCUUGACUUUGGGAUAACUUCAGGAAACUGGGGCUAAUACCGGAUAGGAGCUCCUGCUGCAUGGUGGGGGGUGGAAAGUUUCGGCGGUUGGGGAUGGACUCGCGGCUUAUCAGCUUGUUGGUGGGGUAGUGGCUUACCAAGGCUUUGACGGGUAGCCGGCCUGAGAGGGUGACCGGCCACAUUGGGACUGAGAUACGGCCCAGACUCCUACGGGAGGCAGCAGUGGGGAAUAUUGCACAAUGGGCGGAAGCCUGAUGCAGCAACGCCGCGUGCGGGAUGACGGCCUUCGGGUUGUAAACCGCUUUCGCCUGUGACGAAGCGUGAGUGACGGUAAUGGGUAAAGAAGCACCGGCUAACUACGUG
rnacentral:rRNA from 1 species